GACGAACGCUGGCGGCGUGCUUAACACAUGCAAGUCGAACGGAAAGACCCUGCUUUUGUGGGGUGCUCGAGUGGCGAACGGGUGAGUAACACGUGAGUAACCUGCCCUUGACUUUGGGAUAACUUCAGGAAACUGGGGCUAAUACCGGAUAGGAGCUCCUGCUGCAUGGUGGGGGUUGGAAAGUUUCGGCGGGUGGGGAUGGACUCGCGGCUUAUCAGCUUGUUGGUGGGGUAGUGGCUUACCAAGGCUUUGACGGGUAGCCGGCCUGAGAGGGUGACCGGCCACAUUGGGACUGAGAUACGGCCCAGACUCCUACGGGAGGCAGAAGUGGGGAAUAUUGCACAAUGGGCGGAAGCCUGAUGCAGCAACGCCGCGUGCGGGAUGACGGCCUUCGGGUUGUAAACCGCUUUCGCCUGUGACGAAGCGUGAGUGACGGUAAUGGGUAAAGAAGCACCGGCUAACUACGUG
rnacentral:rRNA from 1 species